AACGCACCUUGCGCUCCUUGGUAUUCCGAGGAGCAUGCCUGUUUGAGUGUCAUUAAAUUCUCAACCUCACCAACUUUGUUGUGUGCAGGCUUGGAUGUGGGGGUUGCAGGUCCACUCUCGUGGUCUGCUCCUCUGAAAUGUAUUAGUGGGUUGUGCCCCUAAUCUAUUGGUGUGAUAAUUAUCUACGCCGUGGAUUGGGUUGGUUACUUGAAGACCUGCUUCUAACCGUCCCUUGGACAACUUUGACAAUUUUGACCUCAAAUCAGGCAAGACUACCCGCUGAACUUAA
rnacentral:misc_RNA from 1 species